AAUAUAAGGUUACUUACAGUUCACUCUUCUAUAAAGCAGUUGAUAAUCCACUAGACGUGAUGUUAAACAAGAACUACUAUGGGCCACUCUGAAACAUAGUAGAAAAGAUAUUUUUUCAGGUACUGACAGCAUGCCUUGCUUAUCACUACUUCUAACACAUUACCAGAAAAUCUCUUAAGAUCUCCAACUAUGAAGGAGAUUUUUACUGACUUCUAUCACACUAUAAUUGUACAUAAAACCUGGAAGAUAAGCUUGGUGCUCAGAAGCCAUGCUGAUAUAUGUUUGGGGAUAGGAGGCAGGUGACAUGCCAACGUAGUUUAGUGAAAUAUUGGUCACCUCCUGGGACAAGGCUUGCUGAAGUCAAUUCUGCCUGUAGAAAAAUCAGUGGGGCUACACAAAUGCACACUAAGUAAGAAUCUAUUCAUGUUCUAAACUUUCUAUCCUACUGACAUUCUUUUGAAAUCACACAGUGGAUGAUUGAAUUUUUUUUAUUUUUUUAUUUUUUUUACUUCACAUUAUUUGCAGGUAAAAUUUGUUGUACAAAGCAUAACGGAGAACUUAAGAAUGACCCUGUGAAGUUGCAUGGUAGAGCAUUACUUUUAUGAAGUGCUUAGGAACUGAAAGCUGCUUUUACACCCACUGACAUAACAUCAUCACAUUUCCUCUCUAACUCGCCCCCGAAACUAACAAAUGCAGACAGGAUGAUAAUUGAUGUAAUUUUGGUGAUGAAAUUAUCUAUCAUCCACCAAAAUUUAUUCAAGAGAUGUUGUCAUCCUGCACUCUCUCAAAGAAACAGGAAAACAUCUUUUGUGUAGUGAUGAUAGUGUGUUCUGACAGAUAGGACAUGAAGUGACCUAACAUGUAAAUUAUAUCUGUAAUAGACUAGCCAGAGCUAUAAUAUAUACUUAAAACCAAAGCAGACCGGAUAUCAAAUUUGUCUCAGAAGGCAAAUAUUUAGGAUGGGAUGGCUCUUCUAGUCUCAUGCAGCUAUUUUUUUUUUUUUGUCUUACUAAAUUUUAGCUCAGUAUAGUUACAAGAUAAACUCAGUAUAUGACAAAAGCUGGUCUGCAGACCUACAAAUGAACCUCAGAGGGAAUAAGGAGGGGGGAGUCCUGCCAAACCACUCCCUGGCCCAGGUGCCACCAGCCCAUCAAAGACCCAUCAAAGGCAGAUAGGGGGACUCAAAGACUCACAGGAAGGGGCAUUCUGUCUGGGACCCUCCCAGGGUUGUGCCAGCAGAUCCAGAGCCCUGGCAUCCAGUUGUGAAACUCACCACUGUGAGACACUGGGAGCAGUUCUCUGAAACAACUUGGACUUCAGACAGUUGCUGCCUUGGCAUGAGACACAUUAUGGGAUGCAGGGAAGGACAGUUGGGAUUGCACAGGAUUUACUGUAGGAUGUUUAGGGGCAGGAUCAAAGGUAAGAAAAAAAAAAAAGGAGGGAUUUAGGUCAUUUGGGUAGGGAAAAAUGGGGGAAACAGAGACACAAGGAAAUAAAAGGAUUAAUUUGUAUUUAAGCAAGCACUGUUGAAUGCACUUUUCUGGCCCUGCUCUGCAUUUAGAAUCACAGAAUCAUUGAAUUGUUUUUAUUGGAUGCAAUUUUAAAGACCAUCUAGUUCCCACUCUGCUGCCAUGUGUGUGGACACCUUCCACUAGGUCAAAUUGCCCAGGGCCACAUCUAAGCUGGCCUUGAGCACUUCAAGAGAUGGGACAUCCACAGCUUCUCUGGGGAUCCUAUGCCAGGACCUCAUCACCCUCAUUAUGAAGAAUUUAUUUCUUAUAUCUAACUUUAACCUAUCCUCAUUUAGCUGAAAACCAUUAGCCCUUGUCCUGUCACUGCAACCCUUGAUGAAGAAUCCCCUCUUCAUCUCUCCUGUAGGUGCUCUGUAAGCACUGCAAAUGCCACUAUAACGUCUCCCCGGAGCCUUCAUGUGUCCAAGUGCCAUAAGCUGGGGAGCACAAGACCAGCUGCUGAAUGGAUCCAUCUCAUAUACAGGAUAUACACUCCCAGUGAAGGACUCACUCCACCAGGAAGGGGAAAAGGCCAGAUUUAUUUCACCUGUUGGAAGCAAUGCCUGCCACAGGAGUCCAGUGAUUGCCAUGAGAUCCUCAAUCAGUCCUGGCAACCGUAAUUUGCAUAUUUUAAAUUUCCUAUUAAAACCGUUCAAAUACAACAAUGCAUCUUAAUCCUAUCCUGUCAGUUAAGUGUUAGAUUAUGAAAGGUCAGGCAGAGUUGAGUUACAAAUGGACGAAAGUUC
ensembl:lncRNA